GUAUAGACUGGUAAAUUUUGUUGUGCUUUAUUACAAUUAAAAUAUUGUAAAGUGAUACAUAAAAGAGAUACAGAGUUAUAAACUUUUCAGAAAAUUACCUUCAAAUUAUAAGCGUGUUUUUCUCACACAAAGAUAAUAUAGAUUCAUCAAAAAAUACAUGGGCAAAUUAAGACUAUUUACAUGACUACUCUCCUGAACAAGUUAAAACAAACUUUUGACAUCAGCCAAGAAGAGAAAUAUGCAAGAUAAGAAUAAAUGGAGUAUAUUUAUAGAGGCAAACAAACACAUGAUUUUAUUGGUGGUAGAUAUGACUGAUUCAUAUUUUAAUUAAACCCCACAUCGACUCGAUGUGUACAUAGAGUUGCAGAUUUACAUCCAAAAUCAUAAUAUGUAGGUAAAACCAAAUUCACAAAACACAAAUGUCAAAGAAGCUACCCCAAAAAAGAAGCACAGUAAUAUGAAAUUUCAAAACAAGAAUGAGAGAAACAUUAACAACAACAACAACAACAAAAACACUUCUAUAUAAAACAUAGAUGUACAAUUAAGAAAGAAUCCGCUUAGAUAAUUACAAUUUCCCGCUGUGACCUUGCACUGGUGGUGAGCACAGAUUUUGAAUCAUGACUAUGUUAGGGAGACGCCCAAGGAGACAGACAGUGCCACCUCCAGAGAAGCCAUUGCUUCUCCUCCUGCCGCUGCUGCUGCUGCCCCCACCGUCCGCUGCGCCUGCAGCCCCCACUGAGCGUCGGACUCCUUCCUGGAGUAGGGAGGUCCUGUUCCUUCUGGAGCGACAGACACCCUUUCUCCUGGCCUUCUCGCUUACUAGCCCGGCAGGUGCUGGACAGGAGAUCUGAGCUGGUCCUGCGUCUCUGAGGAGCUAGGAGCCCGGCUGGGAGAACAAGGAGACGAACUGUGGGGAGAAGGGGCGACAGGAACGCCAGGCUCAUGGGACCGCUGGCAGCGGCCUGGGUAUGGCUGGCGGCUGAAUGGUCAGAGAUACGAGAGGUGGCCACUGUCCCCACCUUUGGCCCCCUAGCCGGCAUUCGUACAUUCUGUGCUCAACAAACGGAAGCGGCAGCUGGAGCUGCUGCUCCGGGAGGUGGAGUGGCCUGGCAGAGGGCACAUGGCUGCCACCUGCUGCAAGGAAAAUUCUCAGUGAAGACUCCUCAGUAUGAAGGAGAUAAGCCUGCACAAUCAGUCACUGAUAGAUGCUUAGUGGAAAAACUUCCAAUUCCCAUUUACAGCUCUCAGAGCUAGGAUUAAAAACUCCUGGUCAUAAACUCAUGUGAUGAGAAGUUAUAGCACGCCCUCAUUUUCUACAUAUCCACUUGCAUUUAUGGUUGGCUUUUGAACUUGCUAGAAGGGAAAGAAGUGCAAAUGUGUCCUCCUUAGAGCUACUCUCCUCCCCUUGGUGGGUUUCCAGUUUGUGCAUUGUCCAGAUGGCCCAGGAGCUGACGAUCAAAGGGAAGAAGUCAUGUUUGUCAUGAGAAUGCUUUGCUGCAUCAGGAUUCAGUGAAGCUGUUCACCGCCUGGAGCCCAUGCAGCCUCAAGAGGCAGGAUGGAGCUCAGAAACCAUCACUGAGGUUAGAAAGUGAGCACCAAAGUUGAGGGAAGCCCACAGGAGUGAGCCGAAGUGCUCCCUUUGGAUUUCCAAGUGGUUGCUGCUGCUUCUUCCAUCAGCCUUGCUUCUGACCACAAUGUGUUCCUGGUGCCUUCUUCUUGGCAUUUUGCUGUUUGUGUCCAAGGAAAAUAGUCCUGCAUGGCAGUGGUGAGAAGGAUGGCUGCCUGCUGAAGCUGAUUUGCUGGUAAGCUUUGCAGCCUGUUAAGCAGAGCCUGAAAUUCUUUCUCACUGAGUGGUGAUUCAAACCUUGGAGGGUCCUCCCCUUGUGGAUCGGCAUUCAGAAAAGAUUGUGCCUUUUCCUGAAACUCUGGGGAUUAUAGGAGAUCAUGCAGAUGGCUGGUGUGGUUGCUCCAGCAGGUGGAUGUCUCCUUCGUGGCUUGUGUCUGUUUCUGUCACAGGGGAGACUCAGUGUGCAUGGGCUGCUAAGGUGCUCCUGCUUCAGGUUGAAUCAUGACAUCCUAGGACCCCUUGCCCCGGCUCCACCACUGCUGGGAUUUGGCCUGUUGACCCAAACUCUAAAAUUGUGGCUAAGAAUGACCAGGCUGAGGCUGUCCUUUAAGGCAGAACUUCCAGGUUAGUGUCUCAUUUUUCUUAUCCUGAAAUUUUCCUUUCGACAGAGGCCAGAAGCAAGUCUGUGUAUGGGAGAGCCUCCCUCCUAGAGCUGGUACCAUUGACACAUGACUCCUGAGUGCCAGAAGAGGUUGAGAGAACUCUCCCAUCUGCACAGCCUGUCUCAUGCAGAAUGCAGAUGGAUCCAAAAAAUCACAGGAUGUGGGAGGUGAAGGAAGAGCUUGUAAAAAUGAAAAGUGGCUGGUGAAAGAGUAGGAGGCAUGAAGAGGAUGAGACCUGCCUGGGGCAGUGCACAUGUUUUGUUCCAGCCAAACAAUCAGAUGAGGUCUUGGUCUUGGACCUGGUGCCAGGGAAUUCAUAAGCCCCCUUUUGCUGUGGCCUGGGAGCUGAGGUCUUUGGUUCUGAAACCAAAUGUAAAUUUUG
rnacentral:lncRNA from 10 species